UACGUAGGGGGCAAGCGUUAUCCGGAUUUACUGGGUGUAAAGGGAGCGUAGACGGUGAUGCAAGUCAGAAGUGAAAGCCCGGGGCUCAACUCUGGGACUGCUUUUGAAACUGUGUAACUGGAGUGCAGGAGAGGUAAGCGGAAUUCCUGGUGUAGCGGUGAAAUGCGUAGAUAUCAGGAGGAACACCAGUGGCGAAGGCGGCUUACUGGACUGUAACUGACGUUGAGGCUCGAAAGCGUGGGGAGCAAACAGG
rnacentral:rRNA from 1 species